GACGAACGCUGGCGGCGUGCCUAAUACAUGCAAGUUGAGCGCUGAAGGUUGGUACUUGUACCAACUGGAUGAGCAGCGAACGGGUGAGUAACGCGUGGGGAAUCUGCCUUUGAGCGGGGGACAACAUUUGGAAACGAAUGCUAAUACCGCAUAAAAACUUUAAACACAAGUUUUAAGUUUGAAAGAUGCAAUUGCAUCACUCAAAGAUGAUCCCGCGUUGUAUUAGCUAGUUGGUGAGGUAAAGGCUCACCAAGGCGAUGAUACAUAGCCGACCUGAGAGGGUGAUCGGCCAAGUUGGGACUGAGACACGGCCCAAACUCCUACGGGAGGCAGCAGUAGGGAAUCUUCGGCAAUGGACGAAAGUCUGACCGAGCAACGCCGCGUGAGUGAAGAAGGUUUUCGGAUCGUAAAACUCUGUUGGUAGAGAAGAACGUUGGUGAGAGUGGAAAGCUCAUCAAGUGACGGUAACUACCCAGAAAGGGACGGCUAACUACGUG
rnacentral:rRNA from 1 species